GACGAACGCUGGCGGCGUGCUUAACACAUGCAAGUCGAACGGUAAGGCCCUUCGGGGUACACGAGUGGCGAACGGGUGAGUAACACGUGGGUGAUCUGCCCUGCACUUCGGGAUAAGCCUGGGAAACUGGGUCUAAUACCGGAUAGGACCCUGGGAUGCAUGUCCUGGGGUGGAAAGCUUUUGUGGUGUGGGAUGGGCCCGCGGCCUAUCAGCUUGUUGGUGGGGUGAUGGCCUACCAAGGCGACGACGGGUAGCCGGCCUGAGAGGGUGACCCCCCAGAACGGGACUGAGACACGGCCCGUACACCAACGGGUGGCAGCAACUGGGAAUCGUGCGCAAUGGACGAAAGUCUGACGCUGCGACGCCGCGUGAAGGAUGAAGGCCCUAGGGUUGUAAACUUCUUUUGCCACAUCGGUGACGAUGUGGAGAAUAAGCACCGGCUAACUCUGUGCCAGCAGCCGCCGUAA
rnacentral:rRNA from 1 species